GCGCUUAAGUUUGAUUCUUCGGAUGAAGACUUUUGUGACUGAGCGGCGGACGGGUGAGUAACGCGUGGGUAACCUGCCUCAUACAAGGGGGUAACAGUUAGAAAUGACUGCUAAUACCGCAUAAGACCACAAGGUCGCAUGACCAGGUGGUAAAAACUCCGGUGGUAUGAGAUGGACCCGCGUCUGAUUAGGUAGUUGGUGAGGUAACGGCUCACCAAGCCGACGAUCAGUAGCCGACCUGAGAGGGUGACCGGCCACAUUGGGACUGAGACACGGCCCAGACUCCUACGGGAGGCAGCAGUGGGGAAUAUUGCACAAUGGGCGAAAGCCUGAUGCAGCGACGCCGCGUGAAGGAUGAAGUAUUUCGGUAUGUAAACUUCUAUCAGCAGGGAAGAAUUAGGACGGUACCUGACUAAGAAGCCCCGGCUAACUACGUGCCAGCAGCCGCGGUAAUACGUAGGGGGCAAGCGUUAUCCGGAUUUACUGGGUGUAAAGGGAGCGUAGACGGCUGUGCAAGUCUGAAGUGAAAGCCCGGGGCUCAACCCCGGGACUGCUUUGGAAACUGUAUAGCUAGAGUGCAGAAGAGGACAGUGGAACUCCAUGUGUAGCGGUGAAAUGCGUAGAUAUAUGGAAGAACACCAGUGGCGAAGGCGGCUGUCUGG
rnacentral:rRNA from 1 species